rnacentral:misc_RNA from 1 species
UCCGGCUUGACGCCGGCAGUCCCCCGAGAGUCCUCAGCUUUACCUGUUAGUAACACGGGGCAAGGGUUGCGCUCGUUGCGGGACUUAACCCAACAUCUCACGACACGAGCUGACGACAGCCAUGCAGCACCUGUGUAAGCUUCCCUUGCGGGAUCGUCAGGCUUUCACCCUUCUACUACCUACAUGUCAAGGCCAGGUAAGGUUCUUCGCGUUGCAUCGAAUUGAGCCACAUACUCCACCGCUUGUGCAGGCCCCCGUCAAUUUCUUUGAGUUUUAAUCUUGCGACCGUACUCCCCAGGCGGCGCAUUUAACGCGUUAGCUUCGCCACAAAAGGGGUCGAUUCCUUUUACAGCAAAUGCGCACCGUUUACGGCUAGGACUAC